rnacentral:rRNA from 1 species
GAUGAACGCUGGCGGCGUGCUUAACACAUGCAAGUCGAACGGAGUUAUAUUUACGGAUAGAAUUAGCUUGCUAAAGAUUGAAGAAAAUGUAACUUAGUGGCGGACGGGUGAGUAACGCGUGGGUAACCUGCCUCAUACAGGGGGAUAACACUUAGAAAUAGGUGCUAAAACCGCAUAGGCGCACAGUGCCGCAUAGUACAGUGUGAAAAACUCUGGUGGUAUACGAUGGACCCGCGUCUGAUUAGCUAGUUGGUGAGGUAACUGCUCACCAAGGCGACGAUGAUUAGCCGAUCUGAGAGGAUGAACGGCCACACUGGAACUGAGACACGGUCCAGACUCCUACGGGAGGCAGCAUGGGGAAUAUUGGGCAAUGGAGGAAACUCUGACCCAGCAACGCCGCGUGAAGGAAGAAGGUCUUCGGAUUGUAAACUUCUGUUAUAUGGGAAAAAGAAAGUGAUGGUACCAUAUGAGGAAGCCACGGCUAACUACGUGCCAG